rnacentral:lncRNA from 1 species
GCCAAUAUGACAAUUAAAUGUAAAGGCAAGGUGGCAUUUGAUUAUGACAGGAACAGACUAUACACAAUGUUAAAGAAGUUGAACACAGGCAAGGCAACCAAUUGGCCGGGCCCCUUAUGUGAUCCCUUCCUUGUAGUUAUUACAAGCAAACGUUUAGGUGGUUUUCCUGAUGGAGAUAGCCUAAUGCACAACAAAAUCAGCAUUUCCCUACCAAAGCUACCUUUUAGAUGCAAAGCCAGUCAUGAAUAGCAAAUAAGAGUCUUUGAGGCUGAAGUUUGGCAUGAGAAAGUGCCUUCUAAUGUCCUUUGAUCCCAUCUUCUGUCCCUUCUUUGCCAAGCGCCAUAGUCUUGGUGGCGGUGUAAGGCUUUCCUCACAUGUCUCUGGCUCCUCCUUGAUAGUUGCUAGCUUACUCUUGAGUAUUUCCUCUAUGUCUUUCCAGGAGUCAGUCCGGAAAUUCUUUCUGCUCAUGCAAGGCACCACCCGCCACAUUUUUCGGUAUGCCCUCCUCAUCUGCUUUCAAGUCGAGUUCUUCUCGGACAAACUAGGUCUUUAGCAGAAAGUGGUCAUGAUCACACUAGUAAUGCUCUUCUCCUUGCCUAUAUAUAUAUAUAUAUAUAUAAAGAGAGAGAGAGAGAGAGAGAGAGAGAGAGAGAGAGAGAAGAGGAAAGGUUGAGGAAAGUGGGUUAGGGUUGUAUUAGUUGGCUAGAAAAUGGAAAGAGGAGGGACCAAAAGCCACAACCUUUGCUCCUUUACAGCGAUGGUUCAACCAUAAUGAUCAGCUUUUGUUCGUUAACCUUUAUAAAACCAACCAAACCUUUAUUCUAUUGAAUACAUCAUGAAAUCCGUUUUCUAGUUUUGAAGUUGUAUGCAUAUCUUGAACAAGGAAAGACAUGUCUGCUACAAAUUUCAUGGAUGACACUCUGUUCCUGGAAAGCUAAUGCCUUAUGUCUACAAAAGUCAUCUGCAGAAUUAUGAAACUGAAACACAAAGAACCAGAUGUGACCCCUUGGAAAUAAUAGUGAUAAAGACUUGAGGAAAGCAAAUCAUGGUGGUAGGGAACACAUUGGUGAUCAGCAAGUUCAAAACCAUAUCAUUUGAUUCCAUUCCAAAUUGUUUAUUAGAAGAGAUUUCAGAAACCACACAAAAAAUUUAUGCCAAUC